CCGCUUUGUUUAUCUACUCAAGCCUGACCAAUGGCGGGCACCCCUCCCCCAGCCUCGCUGCCGCCUUGCAGUUUGAUCUCAGACUGCUGUGCUCGCAAUGAGUAAGGCUCAGUGGGCAUGGGACCCUCCAAGCCAUGCGUGGGAUAUGAUCUCCUGUUAUGCCGUUUGUGAAGCCUGUUGGAAAAGUGCAGUAUUAGGGUGGGAGUGACCUGAUUUUCCAGGUGCCGGCUGUCACCCCUUUCUUUGACUAGGAAAGGGAAUUCCCUGACCCUUUGUGCUUCCUGGGUGAGGCGAUGUCUCGCCCUGCUUCGGCUCAUGCACGGUGCGCUGCACCCACUGUCCUGUACCCACUGUCCGUCACUCCCCAGUGAGAUGAACCCGGUACGUCAGUUGGAAAUGCAGAAAUCACCAGUCUUCUGCGUCGCUCAUGCUGGGAGCUGUAGACUGGAGCUGUUCCUAUUCAGCCAUCUUGGCUCCACCCCGUCUUGUAGUAAAUAUCUAAAUUAUCUGUGGCAACAACUUGGUGGGGUCAACUCGAAUGUUUUUGUCGGCUGUUCUUGAAGACUUCUGGGUCUCUACAACCACAUUCUUUGGCUGGUGCCAGUGUUUAAGCACUCUGAAACUGCAUAGCAGCAUGUUUGAAGGUGGCCUGUCAAAUUUGGGAAACUGACGGUGUGACUGAGCUAGUCACAGGGGUCUUCACAGAAAAGGCAGUCGGGGUCCUGGUCAACUGGAGAUUCCAUCUGAAUGUGAAUGGAUUUAAAAGGUGACUGGAACACUUCUUUCUGACCUCAGAGAUGUGAUGGAUGUCCGGGAAGAUUUUCUCAAGGGCUAGAAGUUAAGAACUUUGUUCCUACUGUUUAUCUUUUUCCCUUUCAUAUUCAAGCCACUUAACCAUACUGAGCCUCAACUUUUUCAUUUAUAAAAUGGAAAUCAUUUUAACUUUUCUCUGGAGGACAGCUGUUGCCUGCCCAUCACUAUUUCCUCCUUUUCUGGUGACAACAUCCUACUUUCCUUCAAAGAAUAAUGCCUACCCCAUUAUAAUAACUUUUACACGGGGCUGUCCCAACACAUGCUGCCUUCAAGGCUAGGUGCAUGACACAGGCCUGGCCAAUCAGUGUGUCCAAUCCCUCUGGCCACUGUGAUUGGUCCAGUUACGGGUAUAUGAUGCAGAUCAAUCCAGUAAAACUCAACCUCGUGACUUUUACUGGAACCAUCAGUCAAGACGCCUUCUUUUUCUGUGAGUUUUCCAGGCUAGGAGAAGGAAAGUUAGAGCCCUGGGAUGCCACGUCAUGAGAAAAGCCUGCCAGAGAGCAAAACUAGCACAAAGGAAAGAAAGUAUUCCAAUAAAAGGGUGACGCUGAAAGCUGAAAUGUGAAUUUGUUAAAUCCUCAAAUAGCCAACAGCUUCUAGGACAAGAUCAUACACAGUUAGGACCUCGAUAACAAUUUGUUAGUGGAAUAGAUAAGAACAUUUUAGAUCCUGUUGCUCAAUUCUGAAAUGCUGCUCUGUGUCAUGAAUAUUGGUUUAUUUUCUUUGUAGAGUGAAGUCAUUAAGACUAGAGCUCCAGGCUUCUUCAUCCAACUCCAAGGGUUCCCAGCAACAUGUGAAGUCCUCUAUCUGUCACUAAGAAGCCGUAGCUUGGUGGCCUUCUACAAAUGUUUGUGGAAUGAAUAAGUGAGAGAAUGAGAGAUUAAUAAAGCCAAUACUAUCACCAGUCCAACGAAGAGCUGCAACUGAAAAAAAAGUCUGACAAAGAGCUAGCAGACAGGAAAACAAAUUUGUCUUAAAUACCCCAAGUUUAUAGGCUUCUCACCCCUCGGCAGCUGCAACUGGCAAAUCUAGUUUACAGAAAUGGGAGAUGAGGGAGAUGUGCACGUUUUUCACUGUCGGAACUUGAGAGGCAGUGAUGGAAUACUUACGAAGUAGCAGCUCUCGGCAGAUGAGAAGAAUACACCUUGGCAGCUGCUGGAUCAAGGCAAAUGAGAGACCCAUGGAGCUCACUAAAUCCAACUCUACAGCUUGGAGCUAAGCCUAACUUAGCCAAGUCUAAACCAGUUUGACCUCAGCCAAUUCACAGAUGUUUGAGCCAGAAGUAAGGUGCUUGUUGCUGGAAGCCAGUUAAAUUUUGAGAUCUUUUUGAAAAAUAUAUUGUCAUUGCAGACAUAGAUGCACAUAGUUUUCCACACUGUGGGAAGUCAAAUUAAGCAUGCUUAGACUUUUAAAGCAGAAGCCCAUUAUUAGUGGGGUGGCAAAAAUGUUACAAGUGACAUAGUCCUCCAAUUUCCUUCUUCUAGCCCUCUGCCUAAGAACUAGUGUACUUCAUUUUGAAGUGGAGCCCUAACGGGAGUGUUCAUCUUCUGUCAACAGGGUUAAGCCUCUUGACGCUUACUGGGCACUCACAGUUGUUAGUUCCCUGGAAGACAUGAAAGAGCUUGAUUGGUUCUGUAGUCGUCAGUCAAUAACCAACUGUAACAUACCUACACUUCCAACAAAAUCUUGAUUUGGGAAAUUGAGUGUCUGCUUAUAGUUAAUCCUCUAUUUUUUGACACCUAGUAGGAAAAACAUUUUCAAAAGAGCCAUGACCUGACUCAGUUAAUAUGCAAGGAAAAAUAAGCAGUUCCAAACUUGUCAGUUUAUCCAUCAUCCCUUAUCCAAAAUCCUUCAACUCUCUUGGAAUUAUUUUGUUCUUCAUACUUGCCCAACAAAUAUCUUACUCUUGUCUUGGACUUUAUUUUAUAGUUAUCUCACAUAAGCUCCUUGUGGCUAAGGGCACAUAUUUGGAAUCAGACUACCCUAGUUCAACUCUUGGGUCUACCAUUUAUUAGCUUGUAUUACUUUGGGAAAGAUAAUUAAAUUCUCCAGAUCUAAUUUCCCCCAUUAUAAGAUAAUAAUAGUUAUUACCUGCUAGGAUUGUCUUGAGAAGUAAAUUAGAUAAUUCAUAAGAACCAUUUAACACAGUGCCAGCCACAUAAUGAAGGCAUAGUAAGGGAAAGUUAUUAUGCUGUUGAUAAUACUUGUCUAGGCAGGGGUCUCAUAUUUUUCCCUGUAUCCAUUACUGUACAAUUCAUCUGUCCCAUGACAUUCUAAGAUUGUUUUAGAGUGAGUUGCUUCAGAGUUGAAUAAUUCUAAUAAUAUAUUCUCAUGUUUGGAAACAACUUGGAAUUCCAUUUAGUGUAGACAUCAACAAUGAAAUCGCUAGAGGAUGAGUAAUUUCUACAAUUUUUAUUCAUUAUAGAGAGACCAAUGGGUAUAAUGGUGAAAAGAACUGAGUAGAAGGUCAGGAGGUCAAAGAGACUGAGUUUAAACCCUCACUCUGCUGAGUACUGUUAAUAAUGGUAUGAUCUUAAGAGAACUAAUCUUUAGUUUUUCCCACCUUAAAAACAGAGUUGUCAUGAGUAUUUAAUAAUAGAGGGUAGUAUGUAAACUUCCUGGCAUAUAGCAACUGCUCAACAAAUAGAAGUUAUAGUUUUUUCUUAACUUGCCAAAGAGCCAAGGGAAAAAUGAAGAUUUUGUAGCCAAAGCCAUUUAUCUUUCUCUGUUAUGUGCCUAUCUGUUCCAGAAACAGAAUCAAUUCCUUGAACCUCAUCAAAGGAAGGAUUUGAACAUUUAAAAAAAAAUCAAUCUCUUUGGGUUUGUUAUUGCUUGUUUCCCAUACCUCAGAGACACAAAUACAAACCUUUAUAAUGUCAUCAGGAAGAAGAGGAGUCAAACACUCCUUAACUCAAUAAUUGCAAUGUUAUUAUUUUGCAAGGAAUAGAGUCAAAAUUCCAUUCACAUGAGGACUGUAACUUCUUCAUUACUCCUUGAGGCACGAUGUCCUUGAUUUUAAGUAGCUCAUGUAGAAACUAGUUGUAAGUCUUUAGCGGAGAGACUGUACUGGAAUUAUAGGAUCUACUUAGGGGUUUGAGCUUCCCCACCCACUUAGAGUGACAGUUCACACCUAUAAAAACACAAAAGUCCGGGGGUUUAUUAAACAUUAGGAGAUCCAAAGAGCCAAGACUUCUACCUGUAAAAGUGGUGCUUCCUAAGCAGAAGAAAUGGAAUUUCUCAGAGAAUACAGCUUGGCUUGACCAAUGGACUGUACAAGGAAGAUUAGGAGGUAAUUACUGGGGUAAAAGAGAAAUGGUUGCAUCUUUCUGGAACACUCUAAUAAAACUGAAAGUUUUUCCUGAUUUCUUCUUUUAUUUGAUACAAGGGUCAAAUUUGAUACAUAAAGUCAUAAUGUCCCACAUGUACUUCUCAGGAACAUCUGUUUAGUCCUACUACAAAACUUGGGGAACAUGGUUUCCUAAUGUGGUACCAGUCGUCUCUUCAUGGAUGACUUCAGGAAGAAAUUCUGACUGGCAGACUCCACAAGUAUAAGACAAUAAGAGGCCAAUUUCUUUAUUCUUCUCCUCUUCUCCGCUUGUCCCCCCACCUCAUUAGCUUUGGGAGAAUAACACAGUGUGGAACAGAAAAAUAAGGAGCCUUGUUGUACUUCAUUGGCCUCAAGAGGUCUCAUCUAUUAAAUAGAUCCAUUAUGUUACUCUCAGAGAAAAUUAUAGUCAAAAAUAUUUCAAGUUUUAGGGCAGUACUGAAUAUAUAAGGGCUCUGUUACUUAAUCUCUGUGCUCUUAUCUUGGGGCGGCAAAGCUCAGUAGGGCUAUCUUGAAAGUAGCCUGAAAUCAAUUGGUCAGAUGAAAUCAAUUGGUCAGGAGGAGCCCAUCAGGAGGAUCAAGGACAUGGGUGACACAGUGAGUGUAAUUAUUAGUCAGGAUAGGUUAGGUUAGGCAUUAGUGGCAAAUUAUCUCCAAAUCUCAGUGGCUUGGUACAAUAAAGGCUUAUUGCUUAUUCAUGCAGCAUGUCUACUGCAGGUCCACAAGGGCUCUGUUCCACUCACAGAUCCAGAUUGUAACAUUCUUUGCCAUCUCAUAGCUACAUGAUCUAAACAUCAGCAGAAGGAAAGUGUCUUGGGUCAGGCUACCUGGAAAACAGAUCAAGAUAAAGAUUUCUGUGCAAAAAGGUUAUUGGGGAGGGAACUCUAAUUGAUAUCUGCCAGGGAUAGUGCAAGAAUGGUUGAGCAGACAAUUGUUGAACUACUUACUAUGUAUGUAGUAACAACAAAGGUCUUGACCAACCCAAAAGGGAGUCCUGGAGCUCAAAUGGUUCUUCACAGUUCUCUCACCUUAAGGCAAGGGACCUGGGCCUUUAUUAUCCCUUAUCAACCAGUCAUUUGAUUAGCUUGACCCCAGAGAGAGGUUAUGACCUUGAGUAAAGUGGCUCUCCUCUACUGAGGAUAAUUCCAGGAGAGCAACUCAGCUGAGAGCUGUCAGCAAUGGGAGGAAUCAGAGUCUCAGUCCUGAAGAGCAGAUCUGGGCAGCAUAUCAUAGCAUCCACCACAAGGGGGAAAGUGCGUGCACUUUUCAUUGCCUCCACCUGGGAGUGACAUAUGCCAUUUUUUGCUGUCAUUUCAAUGACCAAAAGGAGUCACAUGAUUCUAAUUGGAAGGAACCUGGG
rnacentral:lncRNA from 1 species